UUGUCUUGAUAAAUGCCAUCGCAGUGGACCGGUCCCAAUCCUAUAGGCCAGUACAUAGGGUUAGGAGUGACUACACAAGGCAAGUAGGUGGAAAGUAUGAAUUUGACGGCAUUGGCUUUGUACUGAAGCAUGUACAAUAUUUGAGCAUUAACAAGGCGGAAAUAUGCCAAAGAGACGCUAUGCACAAAAUCAACAAGCUGAAGGCAGACAGAGGAUGCGCAUGGCGUCCC
rnacentral:lncRNA from 1 species